rnacentral:rRNA from 1 species
GACGAACGCUGGCGGCGUGCUUAACACAUGCAAGUCGAACGAAGUGGCGAACGGGUGAGUAACGCGUAAUCAACCUGCCCUUCAGGGGGGGACAACAGUUGGAAACGACUGCUAAUACCGCAUACUGAAGGAGGGGAUUGCGUGGGAUUAGCUAGGUGGAGGGGUAACGGCCCACCAAGGCGAUGAUCAGUAGGCGGGCUGGGGGGAUGAACGGCCACAUUGGGACUGGGACACGGGCCAGACUCCUACGGGAGGCAGCAGUGGGGAAUCUUCCGCAAUGGACGAAAGUCUGACGGAGCAACGCCGCGUGAGUGAUGACGGGCUUCGGGUUGUAAAGCUCUGUUAAGCGGGACGCGGUACCGGAAUAGAAAGCCACGGCUAACUACGUGCCAGCCGCCGCGGUAAUAC